UGCUUAACACAUGCAAGUCGAACGGUAAGGCCCUUCGGGGUACACGAGUGGCGAACGGGUGAGUAACACGUGGGUAAUCUGCCCUGCACAUCGGGAUAAGCCUGGGAAACUGGGUCUAAUACCGAAUAGGACCACAGAACACAUGUCCUGUGGUGGAAAGCUUUUGCGGUGUGGGAUGGGCCCGCGGCCUAUCAGCUUGUUGGUGGGGUGAUGGCCUACCAAGGCGACGACGGGUAGCCGGCCUGAGAGGGUGUCCGGCCACACUGGGACUGAGAUACGGCCCAGACUCCUACGGGAGGCAGCAGUGGGGAAUAUUGCACAAUGGGCGAAAGCCUGAUGCAGCGACGCCGCGUGGGGGAUGACGGCCUUCGGGUUGUAAACCUCUUUCACCAUCGACGAAGGUCCGGGUUUUCUCGGGCUGACGGUAGGUGGAGAAGAAGCACCGGCCACCUACGUGCCCGCAGCCGCGGUAAUAC
rnacentral:rRNA from 1 species